UUUUUUUUUUUUUUUUUUUUUGGGGUGGGGAAUUGUCGGAGAAGGAAGAGUAAGGAAGUGGGGAAGGGAUGUAAGCAGCAAUAUACUAAACUCGAUGCUGAUAAACGGCUGAAUCAGAUAGUAGGAGCCUAUUAGGUAGAAAAAAGUGCGAGGACUUCAUGCAGAAAUAUAGCAACCGGAUAGCAUGCAGUACUAGUGGAAAUGAAACCAAAGGUGCGUUGAAUUUUGAUGCCAUCAUCAAGAUUGUCAGCUUUCUAGUAGUAUGACGUAAGGUAAGGCAGGCAUAUAGUGCUGCUAAAUAGUUCAAGCAGCUCGAAAACAAACUCAAUUGAAUUUGACUCGAUAAGGUUUGAACUCAACUCAUGAAUUUUAGUAAACGAGUCAAGUUCAAAUUAGAAAUUUAUUCGGUUAAUUAGUGAAUUGAGUAAGUUGGAAUCGUUUGUUAUUCGAAUAGCUGACUUGGACUCAAUAAGGAAGGACUUAUAUGUCAUUUCAUAAGUCAGAAGAAUAGAAACUGGAAAUUAUAGGUUUCUUGAACUCGUGCGAGUUCGGCUCGUUUGUGGUAAACGGGUCGAGCAUGAGUUCGAACUCGAGUCAUGUCCCAUUUGGCGAGCCGAGUUCGAACGCAUUCCAAGACCCGUUCGUUUAGUCAAGCGAGCUCGAGUCUAGCUCGACUUAAGCACGAGUCGAGUACGGCGGUCAAAUACUCGGUUCGAUUAACAGUACUAGUUAUAUACAGUGGGGCUAAUUCCUUAGAUUAUAUCUGAAAAGAAAAAAGUCGAUCAAAUAUUGCUCUGACAAAGAUGAUGUACCAAACUAUACCUGCCGUGUUGACGAAAUACGGUAAGGCAAAAAUUUUUUUUUUUUUUUAAACAUGGCUGACACUACCUUGCUUAGUCAACAUUGUAGCACAGGUCAAUUAAAAAGAAAGGGCUUGACAGAUUCUUUUCUGGUAGAGGAUAUCACGAUCGUGCAGGUUUUGAUCGGAUUUUUAAAAAAAAAUUUGGCCUUUGCCGUGCUGAGUCAGGGGUGUUUUUUUUAUUAUUAUGAGCGGGUCGGAUGUUGAAGAGGGUGGAGAAACAGUUUUGGAGGUUAUUCCAGUAGUUCUGAUGGCAGUAGGACUCAACUGAUUUUCAAGUGCUCGUCUUUUUUCUUUUUUUUUUUUUCCUUCUCCUUGUACUACAUUGAAUGAUUGCCAUUUUUAACAUCAUUCUCAUGAGUUAUUAGAUGUGUAAAUUGUUUAUGAGUACAAGGUGUAAUUUACUGGGCACAUAGUUAUUGGUAUAUGCAUUUGACUCUCUUCUUCAACAAUUGAUCUAUUUUUUUUUCCAACUAUAAUCUAAGGAAUUAGCCAUAUAUAUGGUGGCUUUGAAUUGCAGAAUUGUGCGGAGGAGUGACACUGUAUCCUCCCUUCAUCAACAUCCAUACUCCAUUGCUGGCUUUGAUAAGCCCACCUCUCACCUUGCAAAAAAUUACCUCAUCAUUCACAUAUUCUCCCAAUUCCCACAAAAGCACGACUCUAAUCACGUAAGGUCUUAGAGUAAUGAAGGUGAGGUGCUUAUUAUUUUCUACUGAUAAGGUAGUUUGAUUGAUUUAGUGAUGGACAUUAAGAGGGAGCCUAUCCAUGCAUCUCCCCCACAUGGGCCAACCAUCCACAUGGUGCUAUCACUAUAUAUAUUUUUUUUGGGUGUGGUAAAUGUGCAAAUGAUUUAAUUUCUAACUCUGCAUAUUUGUUAAGUAGACUGUUAACAACACAUUUCAAAAAAAAAAAAAAAAGUACUCUAAUCAUGCUGAGAUUUAAUUAAGCAAACAUUCAAAGAGGACGCGUAAUUCAAUAAUGGUCCGACGAGUCAGUACUCUAAUCAUGCUGAGAUUUAAUUAAUGGUCACAAAAUUAUUAUUAUUUUAAAGAUAAUUUUUUCUAUACUGACAUGUUUAGAUUAUACUACAUAAUAUGAAUACAAAUCUUACAUAUGCGACAUACAUUCAAAAUUGUUAGUAUAAAAAAAUUACUCCCUCCCCUCCGUCCCAGAAAGUGUGUCGCGCUUUGAAACUUGUAAUUUUUAUUAACAGUGCAAGACUUUUAAAUGAUUUGUGUUUAAAUUCCGGCAAUACCCCUUGACUUUCAAUGUUUUCAUACGUGAUUGAAUGAUAAAAGGGCCAUAAGUUGUGAUAAGACAUGUGAGACCCAAAAGAAUAAAAAGUCUCCACACUACUUUAGGGGAAAGUGUCAUGCACGAUUGUUGUUUGCAUUUCACGUGAGAAUCACGAACUAUCAAGUGCAGUGUUGGUACUUGGGAAGUGCAUAAUUGGGUCCACUAAAAGAUAAGAAAAGGCUGUCACAUUGAAGGGUAUGGAGCGGAAAUGUGUGAGAGUUUUUAUUGCCAAUUUUAGUAAGUGAUAAUCAUUUUGGGACGGAUAAAAAAGGAAAGUACGACAAUAUCAAUGAGACAGAGGGAGUACUAUAUUUUCAAUGUACAAAUAUUAAUCCUUAUUUUAAGUAGACAAUGUAAGAGUUUGCUAGCUAGCUCCAAAGGCUUUUUAUUUCUAUGUUUCCUGAUAUGCUCCUAAAAUUACAUUUACCUUUACCGGCAGCCAAAAGAAAAAAAAAAUGUAAAUGGUACAAAGUACGAAAGAAAGCCAAAAGCAAAUGAGGAAGGCUGAGGAAAGACUUUUACACGCACGUUUAACGCAUGCAUAUCAAUGAUGAUCAUUGAUCAAAGGACUUAUAUUAUAUUAAUAGGUUUGUUUGGACUGCGAUUUAUUUGUCAAAAUAUAUUUGUUUACAUAAUUAUUAUAAUUUCCAACACACCUUUUUAUCUUUUUAAUUAUCUUUUUAUCUCACAUAUAUCACAUCACAAAAAAUGUUACAGUAAAAAUAUCUCUAAUAAUUCACAAUCCAAACAAACCCAAUUAUUAUUAUUAUAAACAAUGAAAAGAAAAUUUGUUGUAAAGACAUUCAUUUGGGUACAUACCAAAGCUUAUUCUAAUUGACUUCCAACUUGAAUAAGCCCCAAUGUCUCUCUCUCCAUACUCCAUAAUCAUAUACACAUUAGUAUUAUUUCUUCUUCCUUUUAUAUUAUAGGUCCUAUGACCGGUCUAAGGCCCUAACUACACAAUACUAAGGAGUAUUAUUUUGCUUCAAUGCAUUUGCAUGUACCGCUCACCAACUGCUCACGGCUUUGCUUGUACUGGUUCCUUCGUCUGCGAAAAUGGGAGGAAUAUGGCAUGCGUGCAAUGCAUGCACAUGUGAAGCAUCAGUUUUUUUUUUUUUUUUUCCCUCCAAAGAAAAGAGUUGGGCCAAUGGGCCACUUUACUUCUAGGCUUUUGCUGGGUUUUCACUUGGAUUUCAUUUGGAUUUUCGAUGGGUUUUUGUAUGGGCAUUUUAUGGGAUUAGAAACAAAUGAAAAACUUUUACUAUUUUUCCUCCAUUUGAACAUCCAUUUUUCCUUUCCUUUUUUUUUCCUUUUUGCAUAAACUUACAAAAAAAAUUAAAAUAAUUACUUAAAUAAUUUAUAAGUGAAAAAUAAAAAUAAAAAUAGUAUUUGAAAUUGAGAAAAUUUUGGUUUCUACAACAACUAUUACUAGAGAACAAAGUGAGAAAAUGAAAUCCAAAAAAGAAGAAGAAUAAGAAGAGAGUACAUUCACUUUUAACGCAUAUCAAUGAUAAUCAUAAAGAACUUUUAUUAUAUUAUUAUUAUAAACAUUGAAAAGAAAAUUUGAUGUAAUGACAUUCAUUUGGGUACAUACGAAUGUUUAUUCUGAUUGAUUUCCAACUUGAAUAGGUUUGUACAUAGGAUUGCAAACAAACCGAACAAAAACUUGACUUGAACUCGAUCAAUAUCAAGUUUGAGUCGAGCUCGAGAUGGCCAAAUUGAACUCUAGCUCGAGAUCGAGCUCAAAUAUUAAACUUGGCUCGCGAGCUCGAAUAUAUAUAUAUAUAUAUAUUUAUUUAUUUAUUUUAAUAGUAAAAUUAAAUAUAUGUCCCUAAUUUUUAAUUAUUUAUUAAGAAAAAAUAUUAUUUUAUUCAUUUUUUAAAAAAUAAAAUAUUAUUUUUAAUUUUUUCGAACUCAAGCUCAAACUCGACUAGAAUUUGAGUCAAGCUCGGGUUCAAGCUUUAGAUUGGCGGCUCGUGGAGCUUGAACUCGAGUUCGAGCUUGAUAAAUUAAUUGAAGAUCCGACUCGAUUAGGUCAAAACCAGAGUCGACUCGAUUCGUUUACAGCCUUACCUACACAUCUCUCUCUCUCUCUCUCUCUCUCUCUCUCUCCAUAAUCCAUAAUUAUAUGCACAUUAUUAUUUCCUUCUUUCUUUUAUAGGUCCUAUGAGGGGCCUAAGGCCGUAACUACAUACUAGUAUUAUUUUGCUUCGAUGCGUUCAUUGUAUGUACUGCCCAACAAGCAAAAUUAAUUGAUUAAUUUGGAUGCUUUUCAGUUUUCAUAUCAUAUCUUACCAUAUAGUAGAAGAAUUACACUAAGGUCACCCCAUCAAAUUCUACUCUCACAUAAUCGUACAGCCCCUAGUGUUCUCCUCAUUAAAAUAAAUCGCAAUGGCAGUAUGGGUACCCCUUCCCAUACUUGUAACCAUAACUAUCAGAACAGGGUAGCGGGGGCACCGGCUGCCCGUACUCGUAGUAGUAUGGUCCCUCGUUGUACCCUUGCGAACAUGAGACACAGCAAAACCCCACUGGAACUGGCGGGUGCAAGCACGGUUCAGCUGGAACUGGUGCUAGUGGCGGCGGUGGUGGGAUUAUUGGGGCCAGUUCAAAUGGGGGCCUUUCGGGAUGUUUUGGGUUUUCAACCACAACCACUGGGGGCUUCUCGGGCUCUUUGGGCUUACCUGUCUCUUUGAGCUUCGCGGGCUCCUUAGGCUUGUAUGGCUCUUUGGGCUUCUCGGGCUCCUUGGAUUUCUCGGGCGGCAUGGGCUUUGGUGGCUCCAUGAUCUUAAUGCUCUUAACUUUUUUUUUUGGUGAAAAUAGGGAUUAAACAUUAAUAAACAACAGAGUUUCGCCCUAUCUAUUACAUUGCAAAAGAGAUAGUGCGGGGAAACAGAUCCCUUUCAAGUCCUCAUCAUAGACAAAAGCGAGGUCUUGAGGACAAUUAGCAAAAGUUACAAAGUUGGAUUGUAAUCUGCCUCCCAUUCUUGCGAGUGCGUCCGCGCAUCUAUUUGCCUCCCGGUAUAUGUGGGAUAUUUUAACAUGCCGCAGCUGCGAAAGGAGGAAUCUGCAAUCCGAAAUGAUAGAGUUCACAAGGUGAUUAGGAUUGGCAACAGCUGUUAACAAAGUAAUAAUGGGCCUGUUUGGAAGCUAGUUUUUUGGCCAAGUUUUUUACCUACAAGUUUUUUAACAACUUUUGCUACAGGAACUCCAAAAAAUCUUCUCAAAGUUUUUUACCUACACACUUCAAAAUACCAAUAACACAAAAAAAAAAAAUUCAACACAAAAAAAAAAUUUCUUUCCCUUUUUUUCUUCCUCCACCCCCAUCCCAACCCGCCACCACCACCGGUGUCGACCACCACCGCCGUUUCGUCCCCCAUCGUGCGGAGAUGCACAUGGCUUGUUGAUGGCUAUGGAGAAGGCGCAUGCUGGGGAAACGGCAGGGGGGAGGGGGGAGGGCUGGGGAAAGGACGGGGGGUGGUGCCUGGGUCGGGUUGGGGAAAUGGUAGAGGGGGUGGCGGGGGAGGGGGUCGCGCUGGGGCAGGGGGUGGCGGGGAAGGGUCGCGGCAGAGGGGGUGCCGGGGGAGGGGGUCAUCAAGUUGGGAAAGGGCAGGGGGAGUGGCAGGAGGAGGGGGUGGCGCGGUGGCGGGGGAGGGAGUGGGAAGGCAGAGGGGGGAAAAGGGGAAAGGGUGGAGAGGGGUGGCGGGAGAAGGGGUCGGUGCUGGGAAGGAACGGGGAGGCUACACAGAACGAAGAAGAAGAAAAAGGAAGAAGAAGAGAAGAGAGAAAAGAAAAGAAAAAGGAAAGAAAGAAAAAGAAAAAGAAAGAGAAAGAGAAAGAAAAAAAGAAAGAAAAAAAAAAAAGAAAAGGAAUCAAAAAAGUUUUUCAUUUUACAAAAACUCCUACAAAAUUUUUCACCUUACAAAAACUUCUACAAAAAAAAUUUUCACCUUACAAAAACUUCUACAAAAUUUUUUCAAAAACUUCUACAGUGCACUACAGUAAAGUUUUAGACAAACUUCCAAAAAACUCAGGUUCCAAACAGGCCCAAUAGCUUCGCAGUCAACUUCAACUUCAAGUUGAGAAAUUUUUAAGGAAAGGGCUAUUGCUAGUCCAUCUCGGAUACCCCAACAUUCUACCAGCAUGAUGUUUGUAGAACCUAAGUUUCUGCAGUAUCCUUUAAUCCAACAUCCGGAGGCGUCUCUGAUAACACCUCCAGCUCCCGCUGGACCUGGGUUUCCUAAGGCUGAGCCGUCUGAGUUGAGCUUGAACCAAUGGAGGAUUGGGGGAAUCCAUCUGAUAAGAAUUUGGGAUUUUCUGUGAGGGGGAUGGCCAGAAUUUGGGCCAAGGGAGUAGAAUUCAAUAGCCAACUUGAUGCUGGUUUUGGUUGGUGGAGGUUGUGUUCUGUUGGGCUCAAAUAUCUUUUUAUUCCUGGAUUUCCAAAUGGUGGAGCAAGUAAAGGCAAAGAGUGUGCCCCAAGGAAUAUUGUAGAAAGGGGAGGGUGUGGAAAGUUUACAUCCUUCCCUAAUCCAGAUAUGAAAAGGAAUGUGUAGAGUGGAUAGAUAGUAGUUGGGAUUGAGCUCCAUCCAAACAGCUUGGGCGUGGACACAUUUACGCAAGACAUGAUUAGUAUCCUCUAUCUGUCCUGGGCAGAAAGGGCAGAUAUUAUCAGGGAGGAUGUUUCUAUUAUGAAGGAGGUAUCUUGUUGCUAGUUUGUCUUGUGAAGCUAACCAGAGGAAUAAUUUGGUUCGAUGAGAUGUGUGAGUAGUCCAAAUCCAAGUGAAAGACUGGCUUGGAGGAUGGGGUGUUUGAACAUUGGGUUUGGCCUGAAUAUAUAGCAUACGAGUGAUCUCAUAUGCAGAUUUGAGACGAAAUUCCCCAUCUGGAGAAUUCCUCCAUAUAAGGUUGUCUGUUUGUUUAGAAUGGUGAGGUCUAGGAAUGGCUUUUAACAGGUCCGUAAUGGAAGGGGGUAAUGCUCUUAACUAGUUUACCACCCUUGCAACAUAAUUUGUCGUGGAUUGUCUCCGGGUUACAGCACACCAGGCGAUGGUCACCAGAUUAUGCCUUUCAUCAUAUACCUGGUCUCUGAUUUCUCGUUAAAAAAAAUUGAGCAUCACCCAAAACAAAAAAAAAAAGAAAAACUCAAAUUCUUGUCCAUACAAAUUAAAGCCACUAACUGAUCACUAGUAGCUUCAUAAGCCACCUAACUUGUGUGUUCAACUCGAUUAACAAUUAUGGAGAAGGGGGGAAAAAAUUUUGUAGCUCAUGGUGGAGCACAUGCCUAUGUACAUAGUCGGUGGAACGGUGGAUGUCCUCCAACCAAUUGUAUACUUGCUCCAAAGAACUACUACUAGUAUACGGGUAAUGAAAACAUAAGAGAUAGAAUGGAUAAUUAUAAGAGACACACGAGGAAAUUUGCAGAGGAUUUUCUUGACCUUCUUGUAGCAGCAAGGGCAUUGAAGAUCAACCUUGAGUCUCAUUACAGUGACCUCUAUGGUUGCAUAUUAUCGGAGCAAAAUAAUCAAACUCGAUCCAUAUAUAUAUAUUAAGAAAUGCUUUUCAGGCUCUUUGAGCUGUGACAUUGAUGCUCCUUUUAUUAAAAAAAAAAAUUGAUACUCCUAUAUAUCUUCGAUCCGGAUGAAUUAGUGUAGCCCAAUACAUCAGUUCAUGUUUGUUGAUAAUCAGAUCUAAUUAAAACUGAUUCAAAUCCAAAGAGAAAUUUAGAUAUGAUAAUAAUAAAAAAGUUGCAAAUUUGAGAAACUUGUUUCUAAAUUUACAAAAUUUAAAAUUUCAUAAAGAUAAAAAUCUAAAGAACUCUCGUCAGGAAGAACUUAUAAGAGAAUAAAACUCUCACUAGAACAAUCUAGAAGUGAAGAAACUCUCACUAAAACAUUUUAGGAGAGAAAAUUAUUCAUUAGAAAAUCUUAGAAGAGAAUUUAUUCAAAUAAAAGAAAUUAAAAACUAUAAAAAGUACUUCCCAGAUUUGGUCUCUCUCCCACGAGAGAGAUGAAAAAGAUCUUCGUGCGAGCACGAUGCAGGCAGAACCGGUGUUGAUGGUAGUGGUGGUGGGAUUACCGGGGCCAGUUCAGGUGCCUUGGGAGGUUCUUCGGGCCCCGGAAUCUUCAGCCUUUCAACUACUCUUAUGUGGUUUUUGGCUUGUUUUGGUUUCUCAGCCAGAGCCACUGGGGGCUGCUCGUGCUCUUUAGGCUUCUUCGGCGGCUCGGGCUUCCUGGGCUUCUCAGGCUUCUCGGACUUCUCAUUUACUGGGUCCUUUUGGUUUUUCAACCACAACCACUGGGGGCUUAGGUUCCUUGGGCGGCUUAGGUUCCUGCUUAGGUGUCUCGGGCGGCUUGGUGGAUAGCGCCAUGAUCUUAAUGCUCUUAAUGACUUUGCCACCCUUGCAACAUAAUUUGUCUACGGAUUUCUACAGGUGCUACAGCACACCACGGUGAUGGUCACCAGAUUUUGCUUCUCAUCAUCUACCUGGUCCCUGAUUUCUCUUGUCAAAAAAAAAAAGAAGAAAAACUCAAAAUUUUUUCUUUUUUUUUUUUUGUGGAGGGUGGGGGAGAGGAAGAGUAGAGGAGUGGGGAAGGGAUGUAGGCAGCAAUAUACUAAACUGAUGCUAGUAAAUGGUUGAAGAAUUAGACAGUAGGACGCAAUUGGGUAGAAAAAAUUGUGAGGACUUUAUGUAGAAAGAUAGCAACCGGGCAGCAUGCAGUACUAACUACAAGUAUGGAAGGAAGGAGGGUGGAAAUGAAAUGAAAGGGGGCGUUGAAUUUUAAUGUGAGUUGUGCGGAGCAGUGACAGUUUAUCCUCCCCUCCAUCAACAUCCAUACUCCGUUGCUGCCUUUGAAUUGAUAAGCCCACCUCACCUUCCAAAAUAUAUUUAUAUUACCUCAUCAUUCACGUAUUCAUAAUCCCCACAAAAGCACGACUUAAGCAAAUUUUGAGAUUUGAGAGCCGGCACCACCUACCGCGUCGUUUUCCUUCAUCCAACUCCAAUCGAGAGAGAGAGAGACAGAGAGAUCAGACUUCACCAGUACUGCAAAUAGAAGGACUUCAACUUGAGGGACUUGCAAGUUAUAGUAUUAUGUCACACUAAUCGCAAGUCCAGUGGCGGUCACUUUGAUGCUAUACAUAAGUGGCAAUCAAACUCAUUUAAUUAAAUUUACUCAUACCCAUCUAUAAAUAGGAGAGUAUGGAUAUUUUAAGUUUUUACGUAUAAGUAUAGAUGAGUUACCUAAUAAUACCCAUUUAAACUCAAUUAACCCAUUAAAAUUGUCUUUCCCCAAAUCUCCUUUCUUCAUCCACCCAUUUUUUUUUCAGAUUCUUAAUUUUAUCAUGAUGUUAACUACUUUUGUUUCAUUAUUAUUAUUAUUUAUUGAUUUUAUCUUUUUUUUUUUCUCUUAGUUUAUUAACUUGCUCAUUUUUCAGCAUUAUCAAUUUAUGACAAGUUUUAGCCUUUUUUCCUACCUUUCCAAAAUGAAAAUUUUAAUUUACACAAGAAAAAAUGCUAGGAGUUCAAAAUUUUUGGAAUAAGUUUUCAUGUUAGCUUUUAUAGUUCUUAGUUCAAAUUUCUAUAUUUUUAUCGUUCAAUUAUUAAAUAGUAUAUAAUUUUGCGUUAUAGAGUACGGAUGGAGAAAAAAUUGGUAAUUAGGCUUAUUGUGCAUUAUAAGCAAAUAUUUAAAACUAAUGCUGGAUGCAAAGGAUGGUAUAAAUUGAUAACUUAGUUUGCAAAAAUGAAUUUAAAUGAGUUUAUAAAAAGUUAAAAUAAAUGGGUUAUAACUGAAUAAUUGGGUUACUUAAUUCAUUUUUUGAUUUACCUAUUUAUACCCAUCUAAUUAAAUGUGUAUAAGUAGAUUGAUUCACUUAUACUCAUUAUCCAUUUUAUUCCACCCAAACCUAUCCAAAUCAGCCAUUUUGACACAUCUAUCCAAAACCCCCAGCCACAAAGUCGCAUUUGAGAAUUAUGAAAAGCCUUGUUAGACCAAAAUGGAAGGAUUUGGUAGGACUGUCAAUGGGGCUGGGCCAACCCAAACUCAGCUCAUUCGCCCCGACAAAAAACCCGAUAAGCCUGAUCUUUUAGCAAGCCGAUCUGAGUUUGAGCCUAAAAAAUAGGCCCAAAUUAAAUAUGAGCCGAGUUUGGACCUUAUUAGGCUCAAACUCGAUAUAGGUCCGGCCCUUUAAAUACCUAUAGAUAUAUAAUAUUUAUAUUUUGAUAUUAUUUAUAAUUAUAUAUCCAAAUAUAUUAUUACUAAAUACUAAAUAUAUAUAUAAAUUACAAAAUACAAAAAUAUAUCUAAAGACUUUUCUUGAGAGCCAAUAUUAGUAAUGCAUAAUUAAAUCUCUAACUUUUCUUAUUGGUUGAGUAAAUUUUUGUGUUGGUAUAAUAUUGAUUGAUUUCUUUUUGGUCUACAAACACAAAUCAUCAAACAUGGUUGGAUUCAAAUCACAAGAUUAUAAAAAAAAAGUUUCAACUUUUAAAAAUGUAUUGGCUUAUGAUUGCAUGUUUUAUUACUAUUUUUCAUGCAUUUUGAAUGAAUUAAAUAUAAAUAUUAUUGAUAACUUUUCGGUUUAUAUACUUUUUAAGAAUUAUUAUUUGUUCAUGUUUAGUUUUAAUAUUAUAAUCUUGUAAAUGUUAAAUUAGUUUUACAACUUGAUAGCUAUAGUAAUUAUAUUAAGAAAAUUAUGGAGUAAUAAGUGAGUUUGGACUAAACUCGAUUAAGGCUCACAAUCCGAAUAUUAUGCGAGUUGAGUAUGAAUUUCAUAUUUAUGAACCUGAAACUCAUAGCUCAAAACCCAAAAAUAUUCUAAAUUAAAUGAGAUGUGUUUGAACUUAUGAAAGCCCAACUCAUUAGGCCUGAUUGACAGGCCUAGGAUUUGGAAGAACAACGAAUUACGUCGCCCCUCAAUUAUUUUUUGCAAUAAUGGACGGAUUGGCAUUCUGGACCGUUGACAAUUUAUUACAGACAACGAAACCAAACCUAAAUUAAUUAAUUAAAUCUAGUAGAGUGAGCGAGCGAGGCUGUCCGUUACUAUAUACUUAUCUGGAAGGUUGGUUGAUCAUUGAUAAUGAUCAUACUAACGUUGUUUUUUUUGUUGACCACAUUUUAUUAUUACAUGGGGUCGGUUCAUUUGCUCCAAUCAACCACCGGUCCCGAACCAAACCCUACUCAUUUCGUCAAACGCUCUCAUCAUAAUUCAUAUAUACCAAUGCCGUUUUCCGAAAAUACAUUCAACCAAGCAUCCAUUGCAUUGCACGUCCAUUUAAUCUUAACCACAAUUUAACUAAAUUCAACCGCUGAAUGCAUCGACCAUUUAAGAUGGCAUCAUGCAAAUUAAUAUGCGUUUUCACUUUUACCAACUGUUUGUUAAGUAAUACUAGCUAGCUCUUUUCUGCAUUCCUGUUACACUAGCAUAUUACUACCUUUUUUGUAAUUUUUUUAAUUUUAUUUCUGACAAAUAACUGUAUUUCUAGAGAACAAAGCGAAAAAAUGAAAUCCGAAGAAGAAGAAGAAGUAGAAGAGAGCACGUUCACUUCUAACGCAUAUCAAUCAUGAUCGUAAAGGACUUUUAUUAUUAUAUUAUUAUUAUUAUAAACAAUGAAAAGAAAAUUUGAUGUAACGACUUUCAUUUGGAUACAUAUGAAAGCUUAUUGUAAUUGACUUUCAACUUGAAUAAGCCCGCACAUCUUUCUCUCUCUCCCACCCUCCAUAGUCCAUAAUCAUAUACACAUUAUUAUUUUCUUCUUCCUUGUAUAGGUCUUAUGAGGGGCCUAAGGUUCUAACUACAUAGUACUAUUACUUUGCUUCGAUGCAUUCAUUGCGUGUACCACCCACCAAACAAUAAUAUUAACUGAUUAAUUUGGACGCUUUCAGUUUUCAUAUCAUAUCAUACUAUAUAGCAGUAGAAUCACACUAAGGUCACCCCAUCAAAUUCUCUACUCUUCUCCUCUCACAUAAUCGCACAGCUCCCAGUGUUCUCCUCACUGAAAUAAUCGCAGCGGCUAUAUGGGCACCCCUCCCCAUACCCGUAACCACAGCUAUCAUAACAAGGCGGCGGGGGCACGGGCUGCCUGUACGCAUAGUAGCAUGGUCCCCCGUUGUACCCUUCCGAACAUGGGACACAGUAGAACCCCACUGGAACUUCUUGGUGUAAGCACGGUUCAGGUGGAACCGGUGCUGGUGAUAGUGGUGCAGGUGCCUUGGGCUUUUCAAGUACUAUACCUUCGGGUUUUUCGGUUUCUUUUGGUUUGUCAACCACAGCCACUCGGACCUGCUCAGGCUCUUUAGGCUUCUCUGGCUCCUUAGGUUUGUCGGGUUGCUUGGGCUUUUGCAGCUCCACGAUCUCAAUGCUCUUAAUGACUUUGCCACCCUUAUAACAUAAUAAGUUUUUUAAAAAUUUAAACUACAAUAAUAUUAAAAAAAAUUUCAAAGUUUUUAAGAUAUACACUUCAAAAUAUUAAAAAAAAUACACUUCAAAAAUUUUUUUUAAAACUUCUACAAUAAAUUAUAAUAAAAUUUUAGACAAACAUCCAAAAAAAUUCACUUUGCAAACGGAGCCUACAUAGUACUACUAUUAUUUUGCUUCAAUGCAUUCAUUGCAUGUACUGCCCACUAAACAAAAUUAAUUGAUUAAUUUGGACGCUUUUCAGUUUUCAUAUCCAUAUAGUAGUAGAAUCACAGUAAGGUCACCCCAUCAAAUUCUCUACUCCUCUCACAUAAUCGUACAGCCUCCAGUGUUCUCCUCACUGAAAUAAUCGCAGCGGCUGUACGGGUACCCCUUCCCAGGGUACCCGUACUCGUAACCAUAGCUAUCAUAAUAGGGUAGCGGGGGCACGGGCUGCCCGUACCAGUAGUAGCAUGGUCCCCCGCCGUACCCUUCCGAACAUGGGACACAACAGACCCCCACUGGAACUGGCGGGUGCAAGCACGGUUCAACUGGAACCGGUGCUGGUGGUGGCGGUGGUGGGAUUAUCGGGACCGGUUCAAAUGGGGGGUUUUCGGGAAUUUUUGGUUUUUCAACCACAACCACAACCACUGGGGGCUUCGCAGGCUCUUUAGGUUUAUCUGUCUCUUUGAGCUUGGCGGGCUCCUUAGGCUUCUCUGGCUCUUUCGGCUUCUCGGGCUCCUUGGGUUUCUCGGGUGGCUUGGGCUUUGGUGGUGGGGGUAGCUCCACGAUAUCAAUGCUCUUAAUGACUUUGUCACCCUUGCACCAUAAUUUGUCGCGGAUUUUCUCCGGGCUACAGCACACCACGGUGAUGGUCACCAGAUUGUGCUUCUCAUCAUAUACUUGGUCUCUGAUUUCUCUUGUCCAAAAAAAUUGAGCAUCACCCAAAAAAAAAAGAAAAAGGAAAAACUCAAAUUCUUGUCCAUAAAAAUAAAAGCCACUAACUGAUCACUAGUAGUUUCAUAAGCCACACUACCUAACUCUUGUUGUUCAACUCGCUUAAUAAUUAUGGAGAAGGGGGAAGAAAGAAUUUGGAGGCUCAUGGUGGUGCACCUGCCUAUGUACAUAGUCGGUGGAACGGUGGAUGUCCUUCAACCAACUGUACUUGCUCCAAAGAACUACUACUAGUAUACUGGUAAUGAAAACAUAAGAGAUAGCAUUGAUAAUUAUAAGCGACUCACGAGGAAAUUUGCAGAGGAUUUUCUUGACCUUCUUGUAGCAGCUGGGGCAUUGAAGAUCAACAUUGAGUCUCAUUACUGUGACCUGUAUGGUUGCAUAUUAUCGGAGCAAAAUAAUCAACCUCGAUCCAUAUAUGUAUAUACAUGACGAUCAAGAAAUGUAAAAUUAAGAUGCACAAUUAUAUGGUACUGCUAGUUUAGCUGAGAGAUGUGGCUAGAGAUCUUGACAUAAAGAGAAGCAUAUCUCACGUUGUAUGUACUGUCAUAGACUUGCAAUUAAAAUUUUCAGAUUGAACAAACACUAAAAAAGAACAUUUGAGGGAUGGUUUGGAAAGCUAGCAAGAGAAUUGGCUUACCUUCUCAGCCAUGGUUGAUGAGGGAGGCAGUCAGUGGCGAUGUAGGGGAGUGGGAGAGAGGGGUGGUGGGGGGAAGGAAGAGUAGGGGAGUGGGGAAGGG
rnacentral:lncRNA from 1 species